CAACCCUCAAGCACUGCUUGGUGUUGGGGCCUGCGGCGAGCAAUCGCCGCACCCCCUAAAAUCAGUGGCGGGCCCGCCUGGAUCCCGAGCGUAGUAGCACAUCUCGCUCGCGGAGCCCAGGCGUGACACGCCGUAAAACCCCCAAAUUUUACAA
rnacentral:misc_RNA from 1 species